GGGGAAUCUUCCGCAAUGGACGAAAGUCUGACGGAGCAACGCCGCGUGAGUGAUGAAGGAUUUCGGUCUGUAAAGCUCUGUUGUUUAUGACGAACGUGCAGUGUGUGAACAAUGCAUUGCAAUGACGGUAGUAAACGAGGAAGCCACGGCUAACUACGUGCCAGCAGCCGCGGUAAUACGUAGGUGGCGAGCGUUGUCCGGAAUUAUUGGGCGUAAAGAGCAUGUAGGCGGCUUAAUAAGUCGAGCGUGAAAAUGCGGGGCUCAACCCCGUAUGGCGCUGGAAACUGUUAGGCUUGAGUGCAGGAGAGGAAAGGGGAAUUCCCAGUGUAGCGGUGAAAUGCGUAGAUAUUGGGAGGAACACCAGUGGCGAAGGCGCCUUUCUGGACUGUGUCUGACGCUGAGAUGCGAAAGCCAGGGUAGCGAAC
rnacentral:rRNA from 1 species